CUACGUUAGCUGCGCCACUGAAAAACAUUGUUUCCCAACAGCUAGUUGACAUCGUUUACGGCGUGGACUACCAGGGUAUCUAAUCCUGUUCGCUACCCACGCUUUCGCACCUUAGUGUCAGUACAGAUCCAGGAGGCUGCCUUCGCCAUUGGUAUUCUUCACAAUAUCUACGCAUUCCACCGCUACACUGUGAAUUCUACCUCCCUCUAUCGUACUCUAGUGAAUCAGUUUUGGAUGCAGUUCCCAGGUUGAGCCCGGGGAUUUCACAUCCAACUUAAUAAACCACCUACGCGCGCUUUACGCCCAGUAAUUCCGAUUAACGCUUGGACCUUCCGUAUUACCGCGGCUGCUGGCACGGAAUUAGCCGGUCCUUAUUCUGAAGGUAAUGUCACGGUUAUAAGGUAUUAACAUAUAGCUUUUUCUCCCUGCUUAAAGUGCUUUACAACCCGAAGGCCUUC
rnacentral:rRNA from 1 species